CUGGGUUUGGUGCACAGUUGGAAGAUUUGACCUCUCAGAGCUGCCCUGGAGUCUGGGUAAGCCUGCAGCCCAGGGACUGGCCAGAUGGUAAAACUGGUAGCAGGCUCCAUGUCUACCAAAGCAAGGACAGGUGCUUUGCCCUGAACGGGAUUCAUUCGCUCCAGGCCCAGCUUCUCGCUGGCAGGUCCAGGAAGCUCCCUUGACUUUCCCAAGCCUCCAACCGCUACUUAGAAGAAUUUGCAUCGGAUUUGUUUCCCCAUUUGGAUACUAUGGAAAAAAACAGGUCUUCACGCUGUUUGGUUCCGGAUCUGCUGGGCUGUGUCUCUCUCCAAGAGCGUGGGUGGAAUUGAAGGGGCCGGCUGGGCGCCCGCAUUGAUCUUUAAAAAAUCAUUUUGAAAUCGCUAUAAUGUGAAGAAAUAUGGCGCUUCGCCCUCGUAUUUCACACGUAA